rnacentral:rRNA from 1 species
AUUGAACGCUGGCGGCAUGCCUUACACAUGCAAGUCGAACGGCAGCACGGGAGCAAUCCUGGUGGCGAGUGGCGAACGGGUGAGUAAUGUAUCGGAACGUACCUUUCAGUGGGGGAUAACGUAGCGAAAGUUACGCUAAUACCGCAUAUUCUGUGAGCAGGAAAGCAGGGGAGUCGCAAGACCUUGCGCUGAUUGAGCGGCCGAUAUCAGAUUAGCUAGUUGGUGAGGUAAAGGCUCACCAAGGCGACGAUCUGUAGCGGGUCUGAGAGGAUGAUCCGCCACACUGGAACUGAGACACGGUCCAGACUCCUACGGGAGGCAGCAGUGGGGAAUUUUGGACAAUGGGCGCAAGCCUGAUCCAGCCAUGCCGCGUGAGUGAAGAAGGCC